GUUUGCCGGUACUUGAUGAAUAAGCCCCGGCUAAUUAUGUGCCAGCAGCCGCGGUAAGACAUAAGGGGCAAGUGUUAUCCGGAAUUAUUGGGCGUAAAGGGUGCGUAGGCGGUCUAGUAAGUCAGUGGUGUAAUGGCAACGCUUAACGUUGUCCGGCUAUUGAAACUGCUAAACUUGAGUUAGAUAGAGGCGAGUGGAAUUCCAUGUGUAGCGGUAAAAUGCGUAAAUAUAUGGAGGAACACCAGAGGCGUAGGCGGCUCGCUGGGUCUUAACUGACGCUGAGGCACGAAAGCGUGGGGAGCAAACAGGAUUAGAUACCCUGGUAGUCCACGCCGUAAACGAUGAGUACUAAGUGUCGGGUUAAACCGGUACUGAAGUUAACACAUUAAGUACUCCGCCUGAGUAGUACGUACGCAAAGUAUGAAACUUAAAGGAAUUGACGGGACUCCGCACAAGCGGUGGAUCAUGUUGUUUAAUUCGAAGAUACCCGAAAAACCUUACCAGGUCUUGACAUGUUUUUGCAAAAUGAUAGUAAUAUCGUGGAGGUUACCAGAAACACAGGUGGUGCAUGGUUGUCGUCAGCUCGUGUCGUGAGAUGUUAGGUUAAGUCCUAAAACGAGCGAAACCCUUAUCGUUAGUUGCCAGCACGUUAUGGUGGGGACUUUAACGAGACUGCCAAUGAUAAAUUGGAGGAAGGUGAGGAUCACGUCAAAUCAGCAUGCCCCGUAUGACCUGGCUACAACGGAUAUAUCGCUGUACACGUACU
rnacentral:rRNA from 1 species